rnacentral:rRNA from 1 species
CCUACGGGAGGCUGCAGUGGGGAAUAUUGCACAAUGGGGGAAACCCUGAUGCAGCGACGCCGCGUGAGUGAAGCAGGAUUUCGGUCUGUAAAGCUCUGUCAGCAGGGAAGAAAAUGACGGUACCUAAUAAAGAACCCUCGGAUGACGCCGUGCCAGCAGCCGCAGUAAUACGGAGGGAGCAAGCGUUAUCCGGAGUUACUGGGUGGAACGGGAGCGGAGUCGGCAGCUCAAGUCUGGUGUGAAAGGCCGUGGCUUAACCACGGUACUGCUUUGGAAACUGGGUAGCUAGAGUGCAGGAGAGGGAAGUGGAAUUCCUAGUGGAGCGGUGAAAUGCGUAGAUAUUAGGAGGAACACCAGUGGCGAAGGCGGCUUACUGGACUGUAACUGACGCUGAGGCUCGAAAGCGUGGGGAGCAAACAGGAUUAGAUACCCCGGUAGUC